ensembl:lncRNA PM20D1-AS1 PM20D1 antisense RNA 1
AGAUUAUGUCAUCUGCAAACAGGAAUAAUUUGAUUUCCUCCUUUCCAAUUUCAAUACCUUUUAUUUCUUUUUCUUGCCUGACUGCUCUGACUAGCACUUCCAGCACUAUGUUGACUACAAAUGGUGAAGUGCCACUGGGUUAGAGUCUCCCCGACCAAGCUGGUCUCAGCAAGUGGUCUCCAUCAUGGGGGCUCGAAUCCAGGUUGAAGGGUCACCAGAGUGAUGGUUGGAGAACAUGGAACUAGCUGGAGGACACCUGAGUACUCUUAAAGCAAACCCCGUGGCCAAAAUCAAUAACCAAUUUGGAUACCAUCAAGACACCUGAAACCUUAUCAUGAGCCAGAUGCUGAGGAAGAGAUUCCAGGAGGAUCCUGAGGACCCCCUGGUUGCAGCCACGUCGAGGCUGACACUGAGGAGGACCCCAACUGUCAUGAGCAACACCCGUCGAACACAGCCAUCCACCUGGGGACAAAUCAAGAAGCUGUCACAGAUGAUGGAAGAAAACCUGAGGAAAGCGGGACAACCAAUCACAAUGAGUAAUUUGGUGAUCUAUCACAGUGAUGAUCACCAUUGCCAUGAGUAUUCCUUCAACAAGGGCUGACACAGAGAACAAUUAUACUUAUUGGGCAUAUUUAUCAAUCUUGUCUGGCAAUAAUGCCUAGAUGAUUUCACUCUAUGGCACAGUUACACAUGCUUUCUGAUCUCAGUAUUUACCAUAAUAAAUCUGCUCCUAUAAUUGAGGCAUACCACCCUCAAAAACCUAUUUGUAAACAAAAUAGAACCUGGCCAGAAAUAAUGAACAACUUGUUUAGUAAGAUUGCAUUGCAGAACAGGCAGAGAUGCUACGCAAUGAUUCCUAUGGGAUCAUUGAUUGGUCCCCUAAGGGGAUGUUUAGCUUAAAUUGCACCUCUCAGUCUGCAUGCCAUGGCCACACUAGUUCAGAUGGUCUGAACAAAGUGGUCAGAUGGCAGAAAUGAUAAGAAGUAUGGCAAAAGUUCCUAUUGUCUGGAACCAUGGCAGUAUAGUGUCACCUCAACCUCAAAUGAUAUGGCUCAUUGUAGGAGCUAAACAUAAGGAUUUGUGGAAACUAUUAAUAGCUCUUAAUAAGAUCAAAAUUUGGGAAAGAAUAAAAAAAGCAUCUAGAAAGACACUCUACAAACUUGUCUUUGGAUAUUACAAAAUUAAAAGAACAAAUAUUUAAAGCAUCCCAGGUACACCUGACCUUAAUGACAGAAACUGGAGUGCUUGAAGGAGCUGCAGACAGAUUAGCAGCUAGUAACCCAUUAAAAUGGAUAAAAACACUUGGAAGCUCUGUGAUUUCAAUGAUGAUUGUGCUUUUAAUCGGUAUUGUUUGUCUUUGUAUAGUGUGCAGAUGUGGAUCCUGACUCCUGUGAGAAGUAGCUCACAGUGUCAAAGCUGCCUUUGCUUUUAUCGAUUUGCAAAUCAAAUAAGGGGGACAUAUUGGGAACAGCACCCCCCCCCCCAAAAUCUGGCCAUAAACUGGUCCCAAAACUGGCCAUAAACAAAAUCUCUGCAGCACUGACAUGUUCAUGAUGGUCUUAAUGCCCACGCUGGAAGGUUGUGGGUUUACCAGAAUGAGAGCAAGGAACACCUGGCCCACCCAGGGUGGAAAACCACUUAAAGGCAUUCUUAAACCACAAACAAUAGCAUGAGUGAUCUGUGCCUUAAGGCUGUGCUACUGCUGCAGAUAACUAGCCCAACCCAUCCCUUUAUUUCAGCCCAUCCCUUCGUUUCCCAUAAGGGAUACUUUUAAUUAAUCUAAUAUGUAUAGAAAGAAUGCUAAUGACUGGCUUGCUGUUAAUAAAUAACGUGGGUAAAUCUCUGUUGGAGGCUCUCAGCUCUGAAGGCUGUGAGACCCCGGAUUUCCC